AGCAGGAAGGAAGCUGUGACUUGCCCUAGGGCACCCACAUUAGAGCCAAGACUAAAAAAAAAAAAAUCAAAAAAAAAAAAAAUCAGAUCAUUUUGUGAUAUCAUCUUGGGAUGGAUUCCUAGACUUCCCCAAGUCAGAUAACGCACGUUUUUGGACUUUUGAUCUGUUCUGCCAAAUGUCCCCUGAGUCAGUCAAGCCCCCUGCCCCUCUCUACUGGCAGUGUAGAGGCCCACUGGCUUCUCAAGUCCUCACUGCUAAGGGCUCUUAGCUCUUUUCAACAGCCCCUGUGAGGCCAUUCCUCCAAAAUAUGUAUUAAAAAGAAAAAUUCAGAAAGCGUUAAUACUAACUACCCUGUUAGCCUUGUACUAGCAGAUGUACAGUAUGUGUCUGUUGAGUUGAACUGCAGAGACAGCACCAAGUGGACACGCGCCUACCGGGAGCAGAACAGUCUUGCUGGGAGUGCAGCUUUUGCCCAUCCUCCCUCCCUGGAGCCAGGUGGGCAGAGAAAUGCUGCUGAGGUGGGGCCUGGCUGCUCCCUCAUCCCCUUAUCUGUUCCCCUGAGACGUCUGAAUACACUGAGAGUGGCAGGAAUGCAGCAGGGCCUCACUGGAAUUCAUCUCUCACCAGCCUGUGAACUGCUGUUUCGGAUGUCCCCUGAGCAGGGAACCCUACCUGUGGCUCCAGGAUGGGGCUGUGCUGGCCUGACCGCUUUGUAAUAAAGCUCUCCUACAGGGUUUUAUAGUAUCCAAGACACUUUGACAUCAAGGAACUCCUUUGAUCCUUCUGCAACAUGUAAAUUGGGCUGAGCGAGAGUAUCAUUAUCUGCAUUUUACAGAUGGGGAAAUUUGAGGCUCUGAUUAAAAUGAUGGUUCAGUUUCACAUUGCUGCAAGUCAAGAUUUCUGUCACCUUAUUGGGAAUUCCCUGGUGGCCCAGUGGUUAGAACUCAGCACUUUGACUGCUGUGGGCCCAGGUUCAGUCCUCGGUCGGGGAGGAAAGAUGUUGCAAGCUGUGUAACAUGGCCUCACCCACCCCUCCUCCAAAAAAAAAAAAAAAAGACUUAGGUAGCUUUGCCUACUAAUUAUCGUAGGUACAUACUGUGUGGGGCUCUUUGGCCAAGUUACUUCACUCAUUCCUCACAAAACUCUCACAGGUGUGUUAGGUAGUUAGAAUAGGGAAAAGGAGUCCAGAAUGGCGGUAGCUAAAAGAUGAGGAAGAGAAAAGCCUGAGAAAAUAGAACAAAGGAAGGUCCGAGGACCAGAGUGAGGACCUCAGGUAAAACAACACUCCUGGCUGGCCCAAUUUACACAGGACAGGCCCAGGGAGAGAAAAACAUAAAAAGAGGAGCCGAAGCUCGCUCACUCUCUCUCUUUCCCCCGGGCGCUGGGGCGCUCUUCUCUUCGCGUCUUUGGGUCGACAUGGCCUCACGCCUCAACGAUGGAUUUUCCUGCUAUUAUCUAAAUAAAAUUAAGAGCUGUAACA
rnacentral:lncRNA from 1 species